rnacentral:tRNA from 2 species
GGUGGAGUGGCCGAGUGGCUAGGCGGCGGCUUGCAGGGCCGUUCAGAUGGGUUCGAUUCCUAUCUCCACCU